GACGAACGCUGGCGGCGUGCCUAAUACAUGCAAGUUGAGCGCUGAAGGUUGGUACUUGUACCAACUGGAUGAGCAGCGAACGGGUGAGUAACGCGUGGGGAAUCUGCCUUUGAGCGGGGGACAACAUUUGGAAACGACUGCUAAUACCGCAUAAAAACUUUAAACACAAGUUUUAAGUUUGAAAGAUGCAAUUGCAUCACUCAAAGAUGAUCCCGCGUUGUAUUAGCUAGUUGGUGAGGUAAAGGCUCACCAAGGCGAUGAUACAUAGCCGACCUGAGAGGGUGAUCGGCCACAUGGGGACGGAGACACGGCCCAAACUACUACGGGAGGAAGCAGUAGGGAUCAUUAGGCAAUGGACGACAGUCUGACCGAGAGACGCCGCGUGAGUGAAGAAGGUUUUCGGAUCGUAAAACUCUGUUGGUAGAGAAGAACGUUGGUGAGAGUGGAAAGCUCAUAAAGUGACGGUAACUACUCAGAAAGGGACGGCUAGCUACGUG
rnacentral:rRNA from 1 species